GGAGGCACUAAUCUAUGAGAUUUGGAACGAAAAAUAUGAAGAAGAAAACAGCAGCAAUUUUUUUUGCCUGGCAGCCUCCUUGCUGCUAAUUUGUAACGCUAUAUUCAACUGAGAGCUUCACAUGACCUUAAUAGGUAGAUGCCCCUACAUAGCUAAAGAUUAAACCUACCCAUAAUAUUUGAAAACAAUACCAAUAAGGACAAAAUAUUAAUUUUAACAGGCUUUCCAUUUGGUUUGAUGGAAUAGAAGUGAACAUCAUUGAAUGAAGGGAGAUGAUUUUGGAGAAUAAAUGAUGUAGGAAUAAUUAAUCUCAUUCCAAUAUUUGAUUAUGUAUAAGAAUAAUCUUGGAGUGGAAUGGAGUAUGAAUAAUAAAUCUCAAUCACCAAGUGAUACAGGCAGAAAUUUUAGGAAAUUUAUUUUUUAUUUUUUAUUAAUUUAGAGUAAUCACUUUAUUAGAAAUAUUUUAUUUUGGUAUAGUUGCCUAAGUUGUAGAAAUUCAAUUUAUUUUCUGUAAAUUCAGUUUACUGUAAUUUUUUGUGAUUAAUAAAAAUUAUUCUUUGAAAUUCUGUGUUUGUCGAAUAGUUUUUCCAAUGUUUUAAUUUUGAAAGUGAUAAAAUGAAAUUAAUGAAAUGAUAUUUAUUCCAAAAAUUAGAGAAUCAUCGUUCCUUAAAAUGGUUGAAUGAUAACUUCAUUUGGAAUUCUCAUUUCGGUAUUUUUGACGAACCAAAUAUUAAAAUGAUCAUUCAUAGCAUUCCUUAAAAAAAAAAAGAAGUUAUUAAAACGAGAAUUCUUCUGGAAUUAUCAUUCUAUUCGAACGAACCAAACUUAGCCUAAAGGUAUACAAGAGUAUAGUUAAAGUUAUAUACACAAAAAAGGAAGGUUCAAUUAAAGGUAUACUCACUUGCAGUCAUGAGUAGUCCGCCAAUACUUUGAAGAGGUGGAGUUAAGACAAUACCAAGCAAAAGGGGGACCUUAAACGUGGAGCAAAGACAAAUCAGAGCAGAAGAGAGAGAAAGGAUGGGCUCAUGAUUUUAAAUUGCCGUAUAUCGGUAUCAGUAAUACGACCAUAUAUAUCGGUUGAUAUUUAAAACCUUUGUAACAAACAUUUCCAAUCUUGUAUUCGAGACUAAACUUUAGCUCUUCUUAUAUUACCAAAGCAUUCUUUCUUCUGUACUUCAUUUGUGUCUAAUUAAAAGUUGAUUAUGCAUCCAAUGAAUCUUGACUCUCUAAUCAUGCAUAUAUUUUUGUUCUUUCAGGAGUAAUUUUGGUCUUCAAGUUCAAUGAUACUCCAACUUUGGUGGUGUUCAUUCUUUUAAGUGGUUUCAAAAUCAGAACACGAAACUAGCUAGCAUCUCUCCAGUUUAAAGAAUAAUAUAUUUUACAUGGCAAGGAUUUUUAUUUAUAAAUGUACUCAAAGCAUUCUCCAAUAGAUAUUUCUUGAGGGCAAAGACCUUCCAAAAAUUAACUAUGUCUAGGCCAACUUUGACGAGAAAAGAAAAUCUUGAUAAUAAUUUGAAAAGUAAAAAAUGUCAUAAUAUUCAAAAACUAUAAUAGAAGUGAUUAUGCUUAUUAUAAAUCUCAAGGGAGAGUAGUGUAAUUUGCCUCAAAAUUAUAUAUAUAUAUUAUAUAUAUAUAUAUAUACACACUAUAAGUGACUGUGUUCAUUCAUCUCAUGCUUCUAUUUUUAUUUUCUUUUUUCUCACAAAUAUAUGAGAAUCCAAAACCGCUCAAGUGUGCUCGAAGUGGUUGGCAGAAAAAAAUAUUCUCUUUAUUUAUUUGGGAUGACAAUUUUUUUUCUUCUUCCAUUUCUCUCUCUGCUUUGCUCUUGAACUCUCUUUUGGUUGAAAAUAAAUACUAAUCAAGUUAUUUGUAAUACCUACAAGGGAAAUGAGGGUAGACAAAAGGUUUAAUUAGUCACACAGUUUAAUGUACUAUACCAAUAACUUGAUUAGUAUUUAAUGUCCUAAUUUCCAAAUCUGAAUUUGUAACAAUGCGACUGAAUUAAGCUGCGAACAACUACCAAUUCAACCAGAGGAUGGUUUAAAAAAUUUCUCUGUUUUCCCCCUCAAAUCGGACAUGCUUAAUCGAGGAAGAGGGAGAGAAAUUAGGAGUUAUGAUGGAAUAUUUUGUUUAUAGCAAAGAUCUUAACUACAAUAUAGUGAUACCCAAAGUUUAAUAAUGGUGGCAAAUUAAGUCUUGGCUAUGGAUUUGGUUAACAAGAAGAUAGUCCAAAACAAGUAGCACAAAGCUCACAGUAAUAUCAUAAUGACAGAAAAAGACUAACUAAUGUGAAACUAUUACGGCUUAAUUUGCUUCUUUUUCAGCCCCAUGAAUUUUUGACAGAAACUCGAAUUUGAUUUUCUCGAGUGUUGCAAUGACAUUUUCUAAGUUUCUUCCGGUGAAUCCGCACAGCAUGAUAAAGCCAAUUCCAUAAUGGAUUUGAUACAUUGCCCCUUGACAACGAAAUGUUCAUCAUUGUUUGGUUAAUAUUUGGCAUCUAUAACUUUGAUUGAUUUUGAUGUAAUGAGUCUUCACACCACUGCUUCUAAGCUCAUCUCUUCGACAAAGCUGAUUCAUCUAUGGCUUCCUUUCUCGAAAAUGUUUCCUAGCAUUACACCAUAGCUAUAAUACAUCACCUUUGGUGUACUAUACCUCAGACCAUAACUCUGUAUAGCACCAUAUCUUAAAGAAGUGCGUUGUACUACACAAAAGAAAGUUUCAAAUACAAACAAGAACUUUAACUAGACUAAGUAAUAGAAAUACACUUACAUAGCUCCACCUGGGUGGAAUGUACCCAAUUGUACCAAUCCGUCCUCCGUUUGCACUGUAGACUCCUCUAUUGCUAAAGAGCUUUGCUAUGCAAUACAUCCUUAAAAAUGGGCAACCAUAUCUUCAUCAAAGCAAAAAUUGCCGGCUUUUUUACAUCACAUGAACCACGGGUGUUGAAUUAACCAUGAUUAAUGAUACAAGUCUGAUGCAACAUCACUCAUAAUGUUCAUUCUCAAUUCUUUGUGACUAUCCCCACAAUAGCCAUGGUUACUGCAACCACUGUGUCUCCCACACCAACUCCCCUAGGCCUGUAAUUCCCUAUCACCAAAGCCUGAAAUCACGCGUCUGGAGCAACUUCCAUAACCUUUAUCGAUCUUCGGUGACCGUACUACGCGCAUGACCUCACAUUCAAAACAUCAAACUCCCUUUAGUGACGCCUUCCAUUUCCAACUCAAAACCUUUUAUUGCAACCAUCCUGUCAUCUUAAACUGCCCCUUUGUAUAACCGAACUAAAACUUUCCUUUACAAAUUAAUUGCAUCCGCAAAUCCACUUGGUUUUGCCCGUAAAGCUGUUGGUGUGAGAACCUUUCUGAUGCCAUCCAAGGAAAUAAAUUCUCUUGAUUUGGAAUUCUUGUUCUUAACCUUUAUGGCAACCCGCCAUUGUCAACCCGGCAAUUAUUGAGAUUAAAGUUGGAUUACUGUUGCUGCCGAUAUGGUAAAAGUGUAGCAACAAGCACGAGUGCUUUUUUGACCGGUGAUGACCUAGUACAGUGACUUGGAACCGUGGGACCCCACAUAGAGCCUUAUUCCCUAUAAAGAUGGAGCAGUGAGUUGCAAAAGGUCCUUCUCAGGUAUUUCUUCCUUCCAGCUUGUUUAACGACAAAUUCAAAUACUUUGAGAUAGAGGCGUCGUUGUAUGGUUUCGGGAACUUUGCCGGACAAAUUGUUUGGGCAAAUCCAGAAUUCCAAACUUCUCAAACUACGCAAAUGUGGAGGAAUAGACCUUGGAAUCGAUUAGGUGCCUAGGAGAGAUUUUCAAGGUUUUGAAGGCUUCCAAUUGAGCUGGGAUGUAACCGAGCUAUUGUUCCUUAGAUCUGUCUAAUUCGAUUCACAACCUUCGAAAUUUCCAUCGCUAACGAUGUUCACCACUUAGAGAAUUUUGAAGACAAGCUUUUAGAUUCAAAAGAUCAUUCAUUUUCCAAAGUGUGGAGGGAUUCUGAAGUUAAUCCAUUUGAGCUGACUUGCAUUGAUCCUUAGCUAGUAACUGUUCCCUAAGCAAAGCUGGCAAGACUCCAGAAAGUUUAUUUCCACUUAAGAAAUAAAGUAACAGUUUCUUAAAUGACAGAGCUCAUUUGGGAUCCGAAUCCUUGCUGUUUGGUUGCUUCUUAGUUCAGAAUUGGAGCUUUCUCUAAUUGUCCAAUUGUUGGACGGAUUUACCCCAUACUAUCAUUAUUAUUUUGAAGAUCUAUCGGCGACGUAAGUUUGCUCAAAUUACGCCAUGCUCAUAGGAAGGUCUGCCCAUCAAAUUCACAAUAUCUGCCGACAAACUCUCAAGAUAAGAUAACUCCCAAUUGUGGUCUGGCAGGAUACACACAUUUAUGGAUUCUCUCCUCUCCACAAUGUUCCCUCACAAUGUUUGCAUGUUCUUAGCUUUGGCUCCAGCACAGAAAGAAUUUGCUAGUGCAAUAUCUCGUCCAAAGCUAUAGCGUUGAAGAAGUUCUAGCGUUUAUCCCAGUGUAUUAGGCAUAUAUCCUGUGAAUGAGUUGAGGCAAGGGCCAACGAAAUCGAGUUUAAAGCAUUUGAGAGAGAAUUGGCGUAUGACUCCAGUUAGGCAUUUUCGUCUAGGAUAAAGUCCACUUAAUUUCGGGCAACCAAUCACCUAUGUUUGUAUGGAGAUAGCCCUAAAGAUUACUUGGCUGCUAGCGAAGGCUUUGUCAGGGUCCAUGACAUGUUGAAUAUUACUGGACGGAAUUUGAUCACUUAGACUAUUGCCAGAGAUGUUCCAGCUCCUCUAGAUAUGAAGUUUCCCAACCUUUCUUGAGGUAUUGAACCUGAAAAUAAUAUCACCGGUGCACAAUACUUUAAUUUUCAUUAGAUAUAUAUCAUGGAUGAAAAAACGUGAAAUGUUGGGUAUGCAUAUUUGGCAUCCUAGUUGUGUAUUUGUUCAUGUAACACAUUAUAUAUGAGGUUCCCCAUAACAUGUAAUGUAAUGUAAGGUAUUACAUGAGAUCG
rnacentral:lncRNA from 1 species